rnacentral:rRNA from 1 species
GGUUGACCUCGGAUCAGGUAGGGUUACCCGCUGAACUUAAGCAUAUCAAUAAS